UAAUAUCUUCAAUGUUGAAGCGAGUUUAUUGUGAGCGGGAUCGAAACAAUCAUGCAGGGAAAACUCUUCAAAGAAGCAAGGGUACAAUCGAAUACCACAAGAGUAAAAAAAACAACUAACAAACAGGCCGUUGUAAGCAAACCUACCGACAUGAAUUGGAACAACAAUCAGCAACAAAACUGUUGAAAAUUUUAGCGCCUCGAAUGCAGUUUCAGAUGGAAAUCUAAAUUACGUAGCAUAGUGACUUUGAUAUCCUCCUCUCCCCAUCCCAAAUCAAUGUUGGAUUUUCUAACUGACAACAACUUUGAAUGGGGGGAAGGGGGAUGUGAGUAAUAAAAAGUUCCCAUAUUGUAAAUUAUUUGAGUAAGACUACUUUUUAGAUGUCAUUUUUAACAGGUUUUGUCGCUGAUUGUCUAGCAUGAAUGGCCUUAUAUUUUUCGCGAAUUGCAGCGAAAUCGAUGCCUUGGACUGGAUUAAAACUUUAUUUGACGAUUAAAAUAGGCACGAUAAAAUUUAUUUUGGUCAUUUUGAGAGGUAUUAGGCUAAUUCGUGAAAACUAUUGGCGAAAAUUACCAUUUUUUAUGGGUGAAAACGACCCCCAACAAUGAUCACCUAUCAUGUGACGUCAUCCGUGGCGGUAAAUCGUCUAAUAUGCGUCUGCUUCGACCUGCAACGUGUCUCUCUACUGUUAAAGUUUUUCAACUGUACAUGAUUUUUAAACCUGGUAUCCCUAUGUCUGCUUUCAUGGCCAGCCCUUACCCUUCAGGUACUUCAAUCUUCAGCCCAGCUUCUUGUGCUAUGGUUUCUCUCUCCUCUUGGCCCAUCCUUUGCAUCUCAGCCUUUUUCUGCCUUAAGAUGUCAUCACGUUCACCACCACUGAUUUGCUGCCUAAGUGUUUCAACUACAGAAGCUCUACGCUGCACUGUCUUACUGCUGGCAGAUGCACUGUUGGUACGUGGUCGUGGAACAUGGCAAAUCUUCAAUGGCUUAAUAAGAAAGGUUAAGAGGAGACCUGUCAAACGUAGCCAUUGCUCAAGGCAUUUAAAUUAUACAAUGGAAUUUUUUUAGUAAAAACUGAUUUUUUUACUGAAACUGUCAGGUCGAAUCUGGGUAGGCCGAAUGCCCCCCCUAUAUUUGAUAAUUUUUAGUAUAAAGUACCACAAUAUGUAUAAGCCCUUUGAUGUGUCACAGAUGACAUGUUUGUUUAUUUUUCAAAACAAUGCUAUUGUAUGUAUGGAAUAAAUUGAAACUAUACUA